GAGCGGCGUACGGGUGCGGAACACGUGUGCAACUGCCUUUAUCUGGGGGAUAGCCUUUCGAAAGGAAGAUUAAUACCCCAUAAUAUGUUGAAUGGCCAUCAUUCGACCAUUGAAAACUCCGGUGGAUAGAGAUGGGCACGCGCAAGAUUAGAUAGUUGGUGAGGUAACGGGUCACCAAGUCUACAGAUCUUUAGGGGGCCUGAAGGGUGAUCCCCCAAACUGGUACUAGAGACCACGGAACAGACUCCUACGGGAGAGCAGCAGUGAGGAAUAUUGGACAAAUGGGUGAGAGCCUGAUACCAAGACAUACAACCGGGUUGAAGGACGAAUUGCCUAUAGGGUAUGUAAAAUUACUUUUGUAUAGGGAUAAAAGCGCUUAACCCCUNACAGGUAGAAGGGGGUAAAGCCUAGAAAAGGGGUCACUAAUUAACNGGAAAAUUAAAGGCAACCACAGGGAUAAACAUCCCGGUGGACCAGGACGAAGACCGGAAGNCAGAAAUAACGAGAAGAGGGUUGCACAAGAGCNGGUNAAUCCCAGGGAUUCAAAAUUCGGGGAGUUAUCACAAAAAGGGGGUACACCAGNAAUGGGAAGGGAAUCCU
rnacentral:rRNA from 1 species